rnacentral:rRNA from 1 species
CGCGUGGGUAACCUGCCCUAUACACACGGAUAACGUACCGAAAGGUACGCUAAUACGAGAUAACAUAUUUUUAUCGCAUGGUAAGAAUAUCAAAGCUCCGGCGGUAUAGGAUGGACCCGCGUCUGAUUAGCUAGUUGGUAAGGUAACGGCUUACCAAGGCGACGAUCAGUAGCCGACCUGAGAGGGUGAUCGGCCACAUUGGAACUGAGACACGGUCCAAACUCCUACGGGAGGCAGCAGUGGGGAAUAUUGCACAAUGGGCGAAAGCCUGAUGCAGCAACGCCGCGUGAACGACGAAGGCCUUCGGGUCGUAAAGCUCUGUCCUCAAGGAAGAUAAUGACGGUACUUGAGGAGGAAGCCCCGGCUAACUACGUGCCAGCAGCCGCGGUAAUACGUAGGGGGCUAGCGUUAUCCGGAAUUACUGGGCGUAAAGGGUGCGUAGGUGGUUUCUUAAGUCAGAGGUGAAAGGCUACGGCUCAACCGUAGUAAGCCUUUGAAACUGAGAAACUUGAGUGCAGGAGAGGAGAGUAGAAUUCCUAGUGUAGCGGUGAAAUGCGUAGAUAUUAGGAGGAAUACCAGUUGCGAAGGCGGCUCUCUGGACUGUAACUGACACUGAGGCACGAAAGCGUGGGGAGCAAACAGGAUUAGAUACCCUGGUAGUCCACGCCGUAAACGAUGAGUACUAGCUGUCGGAGGUUACCCCCUUCGGUGGCGCAGCUAACGCAUUAAGUACUCCGCCUGA